ensembl:lncRNA
GAGACAGUGGUAAAUGUGUCAUCUUUCUCAAAAAAAGCAGGAAAAACAUAUGCAUAAAUAGUCUGACAUCCGUCAGUGUCAGGAAGAAUGGACAUUCAUCCUUUAUUAUGCCCAUUUUUAAUAUCACAUAUUUUCAAUAUAUAUAUAUAUAUAUAUUUUUUUUAAUAGACAGCUCUUUUGAAGGAAGAUUUGCAAUUCGUCCCCUAACCAUGGCAAAAUGAAUUAAUAGGCCAGUUUCUAUGAUGUCAUCAGACCUGAUCCUCUUAGUGAAGCGUCUGUGGCGUUGCCUGAGUCAGUCAGCCUCCAUCAUUUUUUCCAGCCCAAGCCUUUCCCCAAAGACCUGCCCGUCCACCAGCCAGUAAUAGACUGGGACAGGCCUCUCCAGAGACCCCAUGCUGCCCUGAGGCUGAGGUACCAAACACCUUUCACCAUGAUACUCUUGAUGUUUCUCAACUGUUCCAACUAACACCGGCCUAUCUGAGCCCCUAAACUAACAAAUGUCACCCUCUGUUUCCCUUCUCUUUAGUGUCCUCUCUCUUGGGACACAGCGCAGUAGUAAAGGAAUGUCCAUGUGUAGUUUUCUAAUUAACAAGCUGUGUUCCUGCAACCCUUGAGCUCCUGCUGUUGGUUUUAUUGUGUUUUGAGAUAUCCAGACCCUCGCUGGGUGACUUUAAUGGAAAUGAUGCCAUUCUGUUGGAAAUUGCUCCAUCUUUGCAAUACGAGUAGGUCAAGAUCGCUGUGAUUGAGAACUGAGUGGAAAUAAUAAGGAACAAAAACGUGCUGCUUCCUGAUUGAUGUUCAGGAAUUUCAGUCAUACCUGUGCAGGAAUAUCAAAGCUAUUUAUAUAAUGGAACAUGUUGCAUAAUAACGGGUGUAUUACUGGAAUUAUUGUGUCCUUCUGGGAAAGUCCAGCUGAAAAAAGUGUUGUUGCUACACACACAAUGUCCUGUCCUUUAAAUGUGUGUCAAUGCAGAGUUGAUGUUCAGUUAAUUAUCAAUAAGCAAGACAAUACAUUUUACUUUCAGGAAGGAGCACGGAGCCAAGGAUAAUCGCAAUAGUCUUUAUUAAUGCAACACAGGGGUAAAUCCAACAUGGAGAACAGGAGGAAGACACACGUACUUGACUGGUAGACCCGACAAAACUGAACUGAAAAGGACUAGGGUUUUUAAAGGCAGGAUAAUUGGGGAAGAAUGAGACACACCUGGGAUCAAAUUAACACAAUCAAUUGGAAGACAAAACUGGGUCACAGGGGCAAAAACACAAACAGACCAGUCCAUAAUCCUGACAUAGCGCCCCCUCCCGAAAGUUGCGUCCUCGCACAGUAGUAACAACAGAGGGAGGUGUGGGUGGGAACUUGGGAGGUUCCGGUGGAGGAUGGACCCCCGGGAG